CCGCCCAAUGCGCCGCCUACACCGGCUUCGGUGGUGCCGCCAGCAGACGCGAUACCGCUGACCAGGCCAAGGGACAACAAGAGAAUCGAGGAGAACUUCAUGGAGGAACCUCAAGGGGAUGACGGCGCGAUCCUGAGGCUCUGGAAUGGGCGUGACAAUCGAAAUCCGACGAAUAACACGACCUGUAUACAAUAUUGCAAGUUACUGUUUUUUGGGCGGAACUUAACGUUUUUUUGCCGGUCUUUUACUACUUCGCAAAGGCCGUUUUCAUGAGGAAACGGCCUUUUUUGUGGGCGAAAGGAAAGUGCAGAGUUCGGAAAAUUUGUUGUUUGAUCUAUCGCAUUCGCGAGCAGGCUCGCUCCCACAGGGAACCAUUGU
rnacentral:sRNA from 1 species